AACAAAGAAAAUGAAAUGAAUAACACUGAAUAAUUAUCGAUAAUUGUCAACAAACAUAAUUUAACCAAAUACAAGUGACAAGUCCAACAUAAAUAGAAGAGUAUUGUAACAACAUAAAAACCAAAUUUCAGCAACAUGUAGAAGACUAGCAGUUUUGAGACUAAUGAACCAUGAUCAGUUCGUUUCCAGCAACACAACAAAGCCAACAACACUGAUCAGACCGAAAAAAAAAAAAUUUAUUCUAGCAGUUUUAGUGAAGCAUACAACAAAUACCAAUCUAAGAAGAAGCUAAAAAAGUGCAAAGAUGCACCAAUACUCAUGACCUAUUUUUGCAUCAAAGAAAAAAGAUGGCCAACUCCAGCAAUACCCACCAUCUUCAUCAAAUUCCAACAUAGCAAGUGCAACAAGCUAGGUAACUGCACAAGUAAAUAUAACAUCAUCAAAACAUGGUGGGGAAAAUGAUCUUAAAACAUCUCCCUUGCAAUUACCACAAACUUUUUUGAAAGCUUACUGAUGUGAUGCGAUGGAGCUUCUUUUAUGAUAUGCACAGCUUUUUGGUUUGGCUUU
rnacentral:lncRNA from 1 species